CCGAGAAUUUUUCACAAUGGGCGCAAGCCUGAUGGAGCGACGCCGCGUGGGGGAUGAAUGGCUUCGGCCCGUAAACCCCUGUCAUUUGCGAUCAACCGUUAUUAUUUAAAAGAUGAUAACCUGAUAGUAGCGAAAGAGGAAGGGACGGCUAACUCUGUGCCAGCAGCCGCGGUAAUACAGAGGUCCCAAGCGUUGUUCGGAUUUACUGGGCGUAAAGGGUGCGUAGGUGGCGGUGUAAGUCGGAUGUGAAAUCUCCGAGCUCAACCCGGAAACUGCAUUGGAAACUACAUUGCUCGAGGGUUGGAGGGGGGACUGGAAUACUUGGUGUAGCAGUGAAAUGCGUAGAUAUCAAGUGGAACACCAGUGGCGAAGGCGAGUCCCUGGACAACUCCUGACACUGAUGCACGAAAGCUAGGGGAGCAAACAG
rnacentral:rRNA from 1 species